CAUAAAUGGGAAGUCUGGGCAAAUUUAUUUGGUCCCAUAUAAUUCAGGUGGUCAUUGGACAUUGUCUGCUGUGAAUCCAGCUGAAGAAACCAUUCACUUCAUGGAUCCGUUAAAGAGGCGACUCAUCGCUGGUGAAUGGAAAACAAUUCUGGACAACUCCAUUAAAAUCUACAAUGCACACAAGAAUAAGAAAGGGAAGAAAACCAUUCAAUGGAAAAAUCUUGCUG